rnacentral:lncRNA from 1 species
CUGCGGAACCUCACUCCCACGCUCGAGUCCUUGCCUUGACUGGAUCGAUGAACCACCUGAACAAUACUUCAACACUUUCCCCCCUUUUUUUUUUUUAUGAAAUAUGAAGAGCAAUGCAAUAUGUAAAAGGAUACGCAUGGGACUUCCUCCCAAGUGAGCUUGUUUUAAGUCUCUAGCUUGAUUUUGCUUCCUUUUGGAC